AACAUUUCUAUUUUGUAGUAGGUAUUAGGACACUUUGCCGAGUGUUAACACUCGGCAAAGAGGCCAUUUCUGGUACUAGUAGACCCCUUUGCCGAGUGUAUUCGCCAAACACUCGGCAAAGGGGUCAUACAUUUUGGCGGGAGGGCUUGUUUGCCGAGUGCCACAGGGUAGGCACUCGGCAAACAGGGUCAUUUUGCCGAGUGUUUUGAAAAAGCUCUCGGCAAA
rnacentral:lncRNA from 1 species